rnacentral:rRNA from 1 species
UACGUAGGGGCCGAGCGUUGUCCGGAUUUACUGGGCGUAAAGAGCGCGCAGGCGGUCAGAUAAGUCGAAUGUGAAAGCCCCCGGCUCAACUGGGGAGGGUCAUUCGAUACUGUUCGACUCGAAGGCAGGAGAGGGAAGUGGAAUUCCCGGUGUAGUGGUGAAAUGCGUAGAUAUCGGGAGGAACAUCAGUGGCGAAGGCGGCUACCUGGCCCAAUACUGACACUCAGGUGCGACAGCGUGGGGAGCAAACAGG